AUUGAACGCUGGCGGCAUGCUUUACACAUGCAAGUCGGACGAGUGGCGGACGGGUGAGUAAUGUAUCGGAACGUGCCGAGUCACGGGGGCUAACUGUCCGAAAGGGUAGCUAAUACCGCAUACUAUUCGAGCGGCCGAUGUCUGGUUAGAUGGUUGGCGGGGUAAAGGCCCACCAAGGCAACGAUCAGUAGCGGGUCUGAGAGGAUGAUCCGCCACACUGGGACUGAGACACGGCCCAGACUCCUACGGGAGGCAGCAGUGGGGAAUUUUGGACAAUGGGCGCAAGCCUGAUCCAGCCAUGCCGCGUGUCUGAAGAAGGCCUUCGGGUUGUAAAGGACUUUUGUCAGGGAAGCGGUACCUGAAGAAUAAGCACCGGCUAACUACGUGCCAGCAGCCGCGGUAAUAC
rnacentral:rRNA from 1 species